rnacentral:rRNA from 1 species
UUGUUGGUGAGGUAGUGGCUCACCAAGGCGACGACGGGUAGCCGGCCUGAGAGGGCGACCGGCCACACUGGGACUGAGACACGGCCCAGACUCCUACGGGAGGCAGCAGUGGGGAAUAUUGCACAAUGGGCGAAAGCCUGAUGCAGCGACGCCGCGUGAGGGAUGACGGCCUUCGGGUUGUAAACCUCUUUCAGCAGGGAAGAAGCGAAAGUGACGGUACCUGCAGAAGAAGCGCCGGCUAACUACGUGCCAGCAGCCGCGGUAAUACGUAGGGCGCAAGCGUUGUCCGGAAUUAUUGGGCGUAAAGAGCUCGUAGGCGGCUUGUCACGUCGGUUGUGAAAGCCCGGGGCUUAACCCCGGGUCUGCAGUCGAUACGGGCAGGCUAGAGUUCGGUAGGGGAGAUCGGAAUUCCUGGUGUAGCGGUGAAAUGCGCAGAUAUCAGGAGGAACACCGGUGGCGAAGGCGGAUCUCUGGGCCGAUACUGACGCUGAGGAGCGAAAGCGUGGGGAGCGAACAGGAUUAGAUACCCUGGUAGUCCACGCCGUAAACGGUGGGCACUAGGUGUGGGC